UCUUAUGACUCCACCGUCACAGUGACGUAGCUUCCUGUCCGGCGGCGGCGACGACGCUUUCUUUAAAAUGGCUGCGGCGGCUGUAGUGGAGACUUCUUCAGGUAAAGAUGCUGUCGCUGAAGGGCUGUUCGAUCUCCUUAAACCCGCUAUCCAGCAGCUCGACCUGCACGUACACUCAGUCAGAGAAAGCCAGGUAGAAUUAAGAGAACAUAUAGACAGCCUGGCCACAGAGUUAUGCAGGAUAAAUGAACAUCAGAAGGUGGCUCUAGACCUGGAUCCUUAUGUAAAGAAACUGCUGAACGCAAGACGCAGAGUAGUGCUAGUAAACAACAUACUGCAGAAUGCACAGUUGGCUAACUCAGCUCUCAUGCACAAAAGCAACAGCAGACAGACACAGUUAGAGACCAGCUGGUGAACAUAGUGGAGGAUUUCGCAGCUAAAGAGCCAGAGAUUUCCCUCGGGAGCUGGUAGAGACCAAACCAGAGCUAAGAACGUCUGAGGCGACUCCACCACAAUGUGGCAAAAGAGACGGCACGAAGAAAGACCAUGCUGGAGGCUUCAGGAGUAUUCACGUCCCG